CCCUACGGGACGCAGCAGUGAGGAAUAUUGGUCAAUGGGCGGGAGCCUGAACCAGCCAAGUCGCGUGAGGGAAGACGGUCCUAUGGAUUGUAAACCUCUUUAGGCGGGGAGCAAUGCCGGGCACGCGUGCCCGGAGGGAGAGUACCCGCAGAAUAAGCAUCGGCUAACUCCGUGCCAGCAGCCGCGGUAAUACGGAGGAUGCGAGCGUUAUCCGGAAUUAUUGGGUGUAAAGGGUGCGUAGACGGGACAGCAAGUUAGUUGUGAAAGCCCUCGGCUUAACUGAGGAACUGCAACUAAAACUAUUU
rnacentral:rRNA from 1 species